rnacentral:lncRNA from 1 species
AAAAAAAGCAAAACAAAGAAAAUUGGAACACCAAUAUUCGGUUGAAAAUAGGCCAUUGAAGGAAUGGGACCCGCCACUAUUUGGAUGAAAUCAGCAAAUGGGCCGCGCCUGGGACCCGCUGUGUCAGCAGAAACUGGUUCCAGUUCGGAACUAGUUUCUCCGUUUUUAUUCGAAACCAGUUUUCUUUUUCUCAAUUCUGGAAACUGAAAUUUUUACCCGUUGUUGGAGGCACCCUUAGGACCUAGGAAUAUUGAAUUAAAUAUACAUUUCGAUGAUUUGAAAAUAAACUAACUCUACAAUCUACAUGCGAUUUUUCAUGUUUUGGGCUAUUAUUUUGGGCCACACCAGCCCACUUUCUCUCUCUUCUUCAAAAUAUAUAAACUAAUCCGAAGAAAGUAGAUAGUAUGAAAUCGGAUUUUGACUAAAUAAAAUUUAAUAUUCAACGAAAUCAAAAGGGAUAAUUAAUGAGAACGCAAGAUAAGAUCUGAGAUCAUCAUUGAAGGAGAAAAGUCGCAAUUUUUCGUCCUCGAAGAAAAUGACACAAGUUGACAACUACCACAAAAUCAAUACCACUCUGGAUUGAAUUGACUUGUUUCAAGUUUCAACAUCUAUUUUAAGAAGAUUUUUGGUAAAUAUUUAUGGGUUUAAUUAAUUUAUGUAGCACGGAAAUCUAGCAAAGUCAAUAUUGCAAUUAAUUUUGGUUUAAUUAGUCCUGCCAUUUUUAAUGUAUUAUUUUUGGUUCAGUCCUA